UGGAGUUUAAGGAGCACAUUUUAUUUUGCGAAUCUGCUCGUCUGGAAAGUUUGAAUGGUACAUUACACGAACCAAAAUUUAAUUAAAAUUGACAUAAUUAAAAACAACAUGAUUAUGAUUAAUUUACUUGGGAUCCAACUAAAAUUUAAAAUUUUUUGAGGGUGUACGGGCCCAAAUUUUCCCCGGCCUAACAACCCAAAAAAUAAUGAUAAUAUAAUUACAAAUCCAAACCCAUUACAUAUUAAACCAAAGAACCUAAAAUUUGAAGGCCCAAGUGGCCCAGAAUGUUUAAACAUUUGGAAACCCUAACCCUUGCCCCAACUUUCAGCCGCCCUUCCUCCUACCCUCCCACGUGCCGUCUGACAUCUUUCAACCUCCCAUGUCAGCCCCCGUCCCAUCGCCCCUGCACCACCUGCUCCACCGCUCAACCACCUGCAAAACACAAGGAAACACGCAAAGCAGAAAAGAAGCAGCGGAUAACACAAAACAGUAGCAAAACAUUGUAUUUCAUUCGGCUAUAAAGCCAACAAAAAACGAAUGUAACAUGAGAUUUUUCAAUAUUCAAAAGCAGACUUGAGAUCAGUACAAAAAAAAAGAUUGAGCAAUCAAAAACAAAAUACAAGCAAAAGGUUGAGAUCGAUCUCCUGUUUCGUUUUCUACUGUUUUCUAGUUUCUGUUAUUUCAUUUCUAUUUAUUAUUAUUAUUUCUUAUUUUCCUUUACAAAUCUAUUAAAUAAAAUAAAUAAAAAAAAUAAGAAGGAAGAGAAGAAAGCCUCACCGGAAACGCCCGCGGCUUCAUCGUUGGAGACUUUUCCUCCGUCGUCGGGGCUGAAAAGGGGGUGGGGAUCUUUCUUUCAUUUCUUUUCGACUAAAAAGGCUAGGAUCUCGAACUUCUUUUAGAACGUGGCAAAAUGGCCCAUUCUUGUGCAUCGCCGGCCACCGAAUACGGUGGUGGUGCAGCAAUUAGACGAUGACCCCCUUCAGCCGGAAACAAGAGGAGAGGAAGAGAAAGAUGGCUCCCUGUUUUGUUUUUUUAAACUCUAGGGUUAAAAUGAAAUAAAACAAAAAAAUUGGCCCUUUUAUACAUUUACAAAACGACACCGUUUUGGUUAGGGGCCUAGGUGCCUAAACGGCACCGUUUUGAAUACCCGCGCGCCUGACCCGGUUUGAAGGAGUGACCCGUGUGUUUUCGAAGCCCAAAUGGGUUAUUUGCGAUUAUGGUCCCUCCUUCUUUCCUGCGCCAUUUGAUUUAGUCCCGCUUUGCAUUUUCCUUUUUAAAUUUCGC
rnacentral:lncRNA from 1 species